rnacentral:rRNA from 1 species
GAUGAACGCUGGCGGCGUGCCUAAUACAUGCAAGUCGAGCGAACAGACGAGGAGCUUGCUCCUCUGACGUUAGCGGCGGACGGGUGAGUAACACGUGGAUAACCUACCUAUAAGACUGGGAUAACUUCGGGAAACCGGAGCUAAUACCGGAUAAUAUAUUGAACCGCAUGGUUCAAUAGUGAAAGACGGUUUUGCUGUCACUUAUAGAUGGAUCCGCGCCGCAUUAGCUAGUUGGUAAGGUAACGGCUUACCAAGGCAACGAUGCGUAGCCGACCUGAGAGGGUGGUCGGCGACACUGGAGCUGAGACACGGUCCAGACUCCUACGGGAGGCAGCAGUAGGGAAUCUUCCGCAAUGGGCGAAAGCCUGACGGAGCAACGCCGCGUGAGUGAUGAAGGUCUUCGGAUCGUAAAACUCUGUUAUGAGGGAAGAACAAAUGUGUAAGUAACUAUGCACGUCUUGACGGUACCUAAUCAGAAAGCCACGGCUAACUACGUG